UCCUGGAACAGGAAAAGGACAUCAGUGGAAAAACCAGUAAAAUCUGAAUAAUUCUAUAGUUUAUAGUAUUGUUAAUGUUAAUUUAUCAGUUUUAUAAAUGCACCAUGGUUAUGUAGCAUGUUAGCAUUAGGGGAAAUGGGAUGAAGGGUACAUAGGAACUGUCUGUGUUAUCUUUGCAACUCUUCCAUUAAUCUAAAAAUUGUCAAGAUUCAAAGUUUUAAAACAAUUCAGUUAUUAGGGCAAAAAGGUUUCUUUAUCAUUAGGUCUAAUUACUUUCAACAUAUCUCUCAAUAGAUCAUGACACUGCAAUGUCUCAUGGUGUUCCCUUUGGUUGAGAAUGGCUGCUACUUUGUUCAUUUAUUACGUAUUAACAGACAUCUCUAUGUGCCAGGCAUGAUGCUACCAAUGAUGAACUGAGAAGAUACUGCCCUGGCCCUUCUGCAACUCACAUUCAAUUGACCUAAACUGGGAAGUAAAGUUUUUUCCUAUCCAAUACAAUAGUGAUUUGCAGAGAAUCCCCAACUUUGAGGGUUUUGAAAUGAGUUACAGAUAUUUGGUUUUUAAAAUUUGACACAAAUUGUAUUGAAUAUGGAAAAUUGAUGCUACUCAUUUUUGAAUACCAGCAAGUGAAAUUAGUCCUUACAGUUUUUUUUUUUUUUUUUUUUUUACAAAAGGAGAUAUGAGUUAAGGGUUUUACUUAUGCUGGAACAUAAUGUUUUACUCCUUUUGUCCAAGAGUAAGCAUGGGCCAUUUCAGCUAAAGUAAGGAAUUUGUUCAGUUACUAUCAGGUUCAGGAAAACAACAAACAAACAAACAAACAAACAAAUAGAAUGUAUUAGAUUUACCAAUGACUGAAGACAGGAUUGGGAGACUUUGAUGACAAACCUUGUACUGUUUGACUUAGCACAUUGGCAAAUCUGAUUGUAAUAUAUGUCAGAUGAGUUCUAAAAAGGUGAAUACAGAAUUUAAUAAAGAGGGAAUAGAAAAAGACAAGUUAUUAGAAUGUAAAAUAGAAACAACACUUAGGCUUAGAGACCCAGGAAUUCACAGCUUUUUAAUAGUGCUUUGUCUCAUGCUUGCUGAAUCUUUCCUGUAAUUACCUGAAUGAAAAA
rnacentral:lncRNA from 1 species